rnacentral:rRNA from 2 species
CCUCUAGCGCCGAUGGUACUUGGACCGCAGGGUCCUGGGAGAGUAGGACGCCGCCAAGC